CCCGCCUGGGCUGCCAAGGCCGGUUCCCGUGGGUCAAUCUUUAACUUCUGCUCCUGGGAAAUGAGUAACUGAGGAAUGAGGAGCUCUGUUCCUGGCGGGAGCCCUUCCACAGAUUUGACAAGGUGAUUUUCUGAGGCCCCCAGAUGUUCUGUCCAGCUCCAAACCAAGGCGAAAGAAAUAAGCAUGGACCAGAUCUCUUGUAAUGGAGCAGAGGAGAGAGAAAGGAAUCGCUGUGGGAAUGGGCAACAAAAUCCAUCUCCUCCUCCUCUUCCAGCCUCUGCCUUUUGGGAACAGGAACCCUUCCAAACUCCUCGCUCCCGGGGGGGUUGGGAAAUCCUCAAUCCUCAGCAGAAACUCCCUCCAAUUCUUCCUCGACUGCUUUGAUAACGACCCUCAGGAGCUUCACACCUCGUUAGUGCCCUUCCUCCAGCUCUGCUCUCCAAUUUCGAAUCGAUUUAAACAUUAUUCUCUCCUUCUCUUAUCGAGUUUAACUCAAUUUUAUCCAUUAAAGCUUCAACUGAA